rnacentral:rRNA from 1 species
UACGUAGGGCGCAAGCGUUAUCCGGAAUUAUUGGGCGUAAAGAGCUCGUAGGCGGUUUGUCGCGUCUGCCGUGAAAGUCCGGGGCUCAACUCCGGAUCUGCGGUGGGUACGGGCAGACUAGAGUGAUGUAGGGGAGACUGGAAUUCCUGGGUGUAGCGGUGAAAUGCGCAGAUAUCAGGAGGAACACUGAUGGCGAAGGCAGGUCCUC